CUGAAGCCUGAACUCGAGUGCGCCAGCAGGCAGCCAGCAAGGAAGGAGAUAGUCAGAGUGGCCAUCGCUGGCUGCCUUUUACCCACCACAGUUCUCUGCAGACCCUCUGCCCAGCACAGACCAGCCUUUGCCUGCUUCAUAAUGGAGGAGCAGCCAACGUGGCACCUCAAGGUCAGAGAAAUGUCGUGCCAGCAGGGAAGGAGGCAAGUGGCCAGCACCUGACCCUCUUAUCAGAUCCUUGACACCUGUUGGAGGCCAGUCUUCCUGUAGGAGAAUCAUGCGUCAGGGACAGGCCAUCUUGAACAACUUCAGACCAAUGAAAAAGACAAAGUUGUUUUUAUGUUUUAAGCUACAUAUAGUACUGCAAUAUGUUUUAAAACUUGUUAGCAUCAGUUGUUAUUUAGUAUAUAAUUACUGUGUUGCUUUGUCUUGCUUUAUUCAUUUUAAAAUAUUUGGGAAACAUAUGUUAAAAAAAAUUCUCAUCUUUUUGGAUGUCCAAAGACAAGACCAUGCUUGUUAUCAAAGGAUUAUUUAAACAUAACACUUCAUUAUACUGCUAAUUAACUACUGCCUGAUUGCUAACAACGCACAUCAAAGAUAUGAGUUAUCAUUUACAGAGAAAAUGAAUCACAUGAGUGUUUCCUUGCAUGUGAGCCUGAAUUCUUGUUAUGGAUCCUUGGGUGCUCAGUUUCAGUGAUACAGCUCCCCCCCCCCCCCCGCCAUUAUCUGUGUUUAAUUGAAGUUUCCUCCUACAGAUGUCCAUCGCAAACUAGAUGAAACCAUGUGUCGUAAAUACUGUAAUUACCAUCCAUUUAGUUGAGCCUUCUAUUUUGAGAGACUGCAAGGGAGUUCAAAGACUAUAAUAUCUUCCCAAUGGCUUCAUUCUUAUCAAUAAAGGGAUAAUCAGCUUACAUUAAGUAACUUUAGCUUCUUUGCAAGACAACAGUCUGUGAUGAACUUUUCAUCUAUAGUAGCUGCAAUCACGAUUUAAUUUUACAAUGCCCAUCACAUCAUCACCAGCACUCCUGUUUUCCAAACUCUAUUUGUCCCACCACUACCCUUCUCUGUUAAUAUUUGAUGUAAGCCAGUGGAUGCAGGCCAGGACUUAGGACUGGAAGCUUUCCAGACAAUUCCCAUACCUACCAUAAAGUCAUGGUACUCAUGGGAAAAGCCACUGAGGUCAUUCACAUGACCAGCCCUACCACAGAUAGGACAGGGCUACCCCAGGUAGGGCUGGCCAUGUGCAACAUCAGGAUUGUUCUGGAUCCCAGCACUCUGUCCCCAGAUAGCCCUGCUUUUCUACCUGGGCUAAAAGUGAGGUAUGACAAUGCACAUAUGCCUCCUAGCUCAUGCUCCUUUUGGGCUGCCGGAAGCCAUCCUUCCCACAGAAACAGAGGAAGGCGCAGCCCAGCAACAGGAACUUCACGAAUGCAGUGCACAGCUCAUGCAGUGCAUUGAGAUUACAGGCAGCCUGGUUUCCUUCCCACCCCUGCUCCCACUUGCCAUGCUGUUCACCACCACACCACUCAUCUGGGUGUGUGGGUGGUGGAGCUCUGUUUAGGCUCCAGUCAUGUGGGGUGGAAGAAGCUGACUCCUGCCUUCCCCCAGCCCCAUUGGCCAUGUGAAUGACCUUUCUAUUUUUUCCCCCAGCUCAGAUCUCCAUGUAUGAUUUUUAAAAACACGGGUUCAGAGUGUUCUACCUUACAGGAUUGUUCCAAGGCUAAACUCUGAAAGCUUACAGGAUUGUUCCAAGGAUAAACUCUGAAAGCCUAUAAUGGAUUUUUCAAUUUAAAAGUAGUAUCGAAAUUAUAACAAUUCAUGGGAAGAUUGACAUUUCUAUAUAGCCUACAAAGUAGGAGUUGAUGAUUUCCUCAUAAAUUGGCAUUAAGGGUAAAAUUUUGGAUAAUUUUAAUGUGCAAUUGUGCUCUUAAAAUUGUGACUUGCCAAAGUCUACCUUGUAUUUGUCAGACAUGAUGUACAUUCAUGCAGGAAGUGUUCAAAGGUUUUUAGUUCCAGGGCAAGAAGCAUUAUAAUUAUCUAAGGCAUUAUUAUGAAAUCAAGUAUGAACAUUACAGUUUUACAGCCUUUAGACUAUAAAUUCCAUGCUAGGGUAUGCUUAUUUACUUAUUUAGUAAGAUCACCAUUUAGUUGACAUAUAAUACUACAUUUCUCUUCUGUGUAAAGUUCUUGCUAAACUUGUUGUUGAAAAGUGGCAAAUAAAUAUUAUAGAUAAUAAUAAAUGGUGAUGUGAACUGAC